AUUGAACGCUGGCGGCAUGCUUUACACAUGCAAGUCGGACGGCAGCACAGAGAAGCUUGCUUCUUGGGUGGCGAGUGGCGAACGGGUGAGUAACAUAUCGGAACGUACCGAGUAAUGGGGGAUAACUAAUCGAAAGAUUAGCUAAUACCGCAUAUUCUCUGAGGAGGAAAGCAGGGGACCUUCGGGCCUUGCGUUAUUCGAGCGGCCGAUAUCUGAUUAGCUAGUUGGUGGGGUAAAGGCCUACCAAGGCGACGAUCAGUAGCGGGUCUGAGAGGAUGAUCCGCCACACUGGGACUGAGACACGGCCCAGACUCCUACGGGAGGCAGCAGUGGGGAAUUUUGGACAAUGGGCGCAAGCCUGAUCCAGCCAUGCCGCGUGUCUGAAGAAGGCCUUCGGGUUGUAAAGGACUUUUGUCAGGGAAGAAAAGGCUGUUGCUAAUACCGACAGCUGAUGACGGUACCUGAAGAAUAAGCACCGGCUAACUACGUGCCAGCAGCCGCGGUAAUACGUAGGGUGCGAGCGUUAAUCGGAAUUACUGGGCGUAAAGCGAGCGCAGACGGUUACUUAAGCAGGAUGUGAAAUCCCCGGGCUCAACCUGGGGAACUGCGUUCUGAACUGGGUGACUAGAGUGUGUCAGAGGGGAGGUAGAAUUCCACGUGUAGCAGUGAAAUGCGUAGAGAUGUGGAGGAAUACCGAUGGCGAAGGCAGCCUCCUGGGAUAACACUGACGUUCAUGCUCGAAAACGUGGGUAGGAACAGGAUAAGAUACCCCCGCUGGUCUAAGGCGGAAUCAUCUUUGGGCUGCAGGCCCGGGGGAGCGCCUACUAUAGGGCGGGCGCCCCGCGGAGCUUCCAGUUCGCGAGAGGGAGAAUGGAAAAAAGCGGGCUCCCCGCCCAACAGAUACAGAAAACAACGGCCUUGCGUGUAGAGGG
rnacentral:rRNA from 1 species